rnacentral:rRNA from 1 species
UACGGGGGGGGCAAGCGUUGUUCGGAAUUACUGGCGUAAAGGGCUCGUAGGCGGCCAACUAAGUCGGAUGUGAAAUCCCCAGGCUCAACUUGGGAACUGCAUCCGAUACUGGAUGGCUUGAAUUCGGGAGAGGGAUGCAGAAUUCCAGGUGUAGCGGUGAAAUGCGUAGAUAUCUGGAGGAAUACCGGUGGCGAAGGCGGCAUCCUGGACCGACAUUGACGCUGAGGAGCGAAAGCUAGGGGGGCAAACGGGG